rnacentral:rRNA from 1 species
UCCGGUUGAUCCUGCCAGAGGUUACUGCUAUCGGAGUUCGAUUAAGCCAUGCGAGUCUAAAGGUUUCUUCGGAAACCUUGGCGGACUGCUCAGUAACACGUGGAUAACCUACCCUUGGGACUGGGAUAACCCCGGGAAACUGGGGAUAAUACCGAAUAGAUCAGGGAUGCUGGAAUGCGCCUUGAUCCAAAGCUUCGGCGCCCAAGGAUGGGUCUGCGGCCUAUCAGGUAGUAGUGGGUGUAACGUACCUACUAGCCGACGACGGGUACGGGUUGUGAGAGCAAGAGCCCGGAGAUGGAUUCUGAGACACGAAUCCAGGCCCUACGGGGUGCAGCAGGCGCGAAACCUUUACAAUGUGCGAAAGCAUGAUAAGGGAACUCCGAGUGCCAGUAUCUAAUACUGGCUGUCCUUGUGCCUAAAACGCACAAGAUAGCAAGGGCCGGGUAAGACCGGUGCCAGCCGCCGCGGUAACACCGGCGGCCCGAGUGGUAGCCGCUAUUAUUGGGUCUAAAGGGUCCGUAGCCGGUUCGAUGAGUCCUCUGGGAAAUCUGGUUGCUUAACAAUCAGACUGCCAAGGGAUACUAUCGAACUUGAGACCGGGAGAGGUAAGAGGUACUUCAGGGGUAGGAGUGAAAUCUUGUAAUCCCUGGGGGACCAUCUGUGGCGAAGGCGUCUUACCAGAACGGGUCUGACGGUGAGGGACGAAAGCUGGGGGCGCAAACCGGAUUAGAUACCCGGGUAGUCCCAGCCGUAAACGAUGCUCGCUAUGUGUCAGGUACGGUGUGACCGUAUCUGGUGCCGUAGGGAAGCCGUGAAGCGAGCCACCUGGGAAGUACGGUCGCAAGACUGAAACUUAAAGGAAUUGGCGGGGGAGCAC